GGACUCUAGUUGUUGGUAUCAAUUCUCAAAAUCGUCUACAUCUUCAAAGCGGUUCUGUGGGUACAAGAUGCAGAGGAGGAGAUGUUUGUGUGGUUCAUCGUACAAAUGGAGUGAUACCUGCUAGGAAAUUAGAUGACAGGAUUAUAAGAGCUCUCGCUGAUGACGAAGGAACGUUUAGAGUUGACAUUGGUCCUAACAAAUAUACAACGUUCUUUCAACUUCCACAAGGUACAGCAGGAUUUCAAUCUAAUUGCGAAGGAGCGAG